UACGGAGGGUGCAAGCGUUAUCCGGAAUCACUGGGUUUAAAGGGUGCGUAGGCGGCGCAGUAAGUCAGAGGUGAAAGCCCGUGGCUCAACCAUGGAAUUGCCUUUGAUACUGUUGUGCUUGAAUCAGGUUGAGGCUGGCGGAACGUGGCAUGUAGCGGUGAAAUGCAUAGAUAUGCCACAGAACACCGAUUGCGAAGGCAGCUGGCUGGCCUGGAUUGACGCUGAGGCACGAAAGCGUGGGGAGCGAACAGG
rnacentral:rRNA from 1 species